rnacentral:rRNA from 1 species
AACGAACGCUGGCGGCAGGCCUAACACAUGCAAGUCGAACGCCCUAGCAAUAGGGAGUGGCAGACGGGUGAGUAACACGUGGGAACCUUCCCUAUACUACGGAAUAGCCCAGGGAAACUUGGAGUAAUACCGUAUACGCCCGAGAGGGGAAAGAUUUAUCGGUAUAGGAUGGGCCCGCGUCGGAUUAGCUAGUUGGUGAGGUAAUGGCUCACCAAGGCGACGAUCCGUAGCUGGUUUGAGAGAACGACCAGCCACACUGGGACUGAGACACGGCCCAGACUCCUACGGGAGGCAGCAGAGGGGAAUAUUGGACAAUGGGCGCAAGCCUGAUCCAGCCAUGCCGCGUGAGUGAUGAAGGCCUUAUGGUUGUAAAGCUCUUUUGCCGGCGACGAUAAUUACGGUACCCGGAGAAUAAGUCCCGGCUAACUUCGUGCCAGCAGCCGCAGUAA